rnacentral:tRNA from 1 species
CCGAGGCCGCACGCGGCUGUGAUGGCCGAGUGGUUAAGGCGUUGGACUCGAAAUCCAAUGGGGUCUCCCCGCGCAGGUUCGAAUCCUGCUCACAGCGUUGGUAAUUUUGGCAGUGGGUAUGGCCUCCUCUAAAGGAGGUAACUAGUUUGUUUUCUAGGCCUUUCCUUCCCUUGAAGAAGCUUCCCAAAGUCUUGAGAAGAUCACAGGUAAUCAACCCCGGACCAGCCUGCCAGCGCCCUCUUCCGAGGCUCAGCCUCCUACCAACGUGCAAAAGCCUUUUUAUGGCCAAUUUCGAUUCAUAAUUCAAUUUUCGAUUUCUUGUUGCUACUAAGCAAUUAGAUUACAUUUCCCUAAUCCGUUCAGCCUCCUUCUGAUCUAUACGACUAUUUCAUUUCUUCUCUCACUACAGCCACGAUUCUCUUCAUCUCUCUUCUGCUUUACCUCCCGUGUCACUGAGAAAAUAAAGCAUUCUGAACAAUUUCCCACGGAAAUCCUCAACCCCGCUACUUACCUACCCACCUGCCUAAGCCUGACCACAGACUUCCUUUCCCUCUAGGACCUGUAGGAGAACCCUUCCACUGAACUAUGGAACCUCUAGACCUAUUAGAUUUCCCACCCUCUUGGGCCCACUCAAGAACAUUGCUUUUUUCCUAUACCAUCAAAUUUCCCUCUCUCCUGGAUUUUCCUACCAGACAUUGUAAUUUCUCUCAUUUAGAACAAUCAAGACAACAAAACCCAUCUACUGAGACUUAAACGCGUCCCCCAGAAGUGCACGUGUUGGAACCUCAAUCCCCAAUUUCACAUGUUGAUUGGAGGUGGGGUCUUUGGGAGGUAAUUAGGAUUAGAGAAGGUCAUGAGAUUGGGGUCCCAACAGUGACAUUAGUAGCUUUAUAAAAAGAGGAAGAGAACCAUCGCGGCCUAGGAGCACACUUGCUCAUUUGCUGUCUCACCAUAUGAUGGCCCUCAACAGAUUGCCCAGCAGAUGCCAAUGCCACACUCUUGCACUUCCCAGCCUCCCAAACCAUGAGCUAAAUAAAACUUUAUAAAUUAUCCAGUCCAUGUUAUUGAGGGAUAGUAACAGAAAACAGACUCUAUCUUGUCACCACACGCUCCUCCAACUACCACUUAAUUUCUCUGCUCCUCUCUACAACAAGCAUAAUAAGAUAUACUGUCUCCAGCCUCCCAUUCUAUGGUGAGCCCUCUCCAACCAGGUGUUCUUUCCUACACCAAGGCUUCCCUGGUUAGGGUUACUUACCAAAUGACCAUCACAUUGCUAAAUCCAUCCAUCUCUAAACUAGUUAGCAACACUUGACACAGAUGCCUCUCUCUUUUCUUGGGGUGCUAGGAACUGAAGCCAGCCCUUGUACUCAGGGGAGUGCUCUACCACUGAGCUAUAGCUACAGCCCCAGUCCUGUACUCUCUUUUAGUAAUACACUCUUCUCUGGCCUUGUAGGCCACCACACCCCUCUGAUAUUCCUUCUUCACUAGCAGCUUGAUCACAGACUCCUUUGCUGGUUUCUCGUCAGCUGCAUCUCUAAAUGUUUGGUUCCAAAGCUCAGUCUUUCAACUGAAUCUUUUCUCUACCUGUACUCACUACCUUGGUGAUCUCCAGACCUGUG